rnacentral:rRNA from 1 species
AACGAACGCUGGCGGCAGGCUUAACACAUGCAAGUCGAACGCUCGUAGCAAUACGGGAGUGGCGGACGGGUGAGUAACGCGUGGGAACGUGCCCUGAGGUACGGAAUAACUGAGGGAAACUUCAGCUAAUACCGUAUGAGCCCCGAGAGGGGGAAAGAUUUAUCGCCUUGGGGAGCGGCCCGCGUCGGAUUAGCUAGUUGGUGGGGUAACGGCCUACCAAGGCUUCGAUCCGUAGCUGGUCUGAGAGGACGAUCAGCCACACUGGGACUGAGACACGGCCCAGACUCCUACGGGAGGCAGCAGUGGGGAAUCUUGCGCAAUGGGGGCAACCCUGACGCAGCCAUGCCGCGUGAACGAUGAAGGCCUUAGGGUUGUAAAGUUCUUUUACCCGUGACGAUGAUGACGGUAACGGGGGAUAAGCUCCGGCUAACUUCGUG